UGACACUGGGAGCUGACACUGGGUGACAGUGACGGUGACAGCGGUUGUAGCUGUGAUAGUGAUGGUGACAAGCAGUGAUGGUGACAACGGCGGUGUCCAUGGCAACAAGAAUUGGUGACAGUGACCGUGACGGUGGUGACCAUGGCACCAACAACCGGUGACAGUGACGGUGUUGGUGACGGUGACAAUGUUGGUGACAGUGACAGCGACUGUAGCUCUGAUAGUGACAGUGACAAGCAGUGAUGGUGACAACAGCGGUGACCAUGGCAACAACAACUGGUGACAGUGACAGUGACAGUGACAGUGUUGGUGACAGUGAUGGUGUUGGUGACAGUGAUAGUGACAGUGACAGCAAUUGUAGCUGUGAUAGUGACAGUGACAAGCAGUGACGGUGACAACAGCGGUGACCAUGGCAACAAGAAUUGGUGACAGUGACGGUGUUGGUGCCGGUGCUGGUGCCGGUGCUGGUGCCGGUGAUGGUGACGGUGACGGUGACGGUGACAGUCUUGGUGAUGGUGACGGUGAUGGUGACGGUGCUGGUGACGGUGAUGGUGACGGUGUUGGUGCCAGUGAUGGUGACGGUGAUGGUGACGGUGAUGGUGACGGUGACAGUCUUGGUGAUGGUGACGGUGCUGGUGACGGUGCUGGUGCCGGUGAUGGUGACGGUGAUGGUGACGGUGCUGGUGACGGUGACAGUCUUGGUGAUGGUGACGGUGAUGGUGACGGUGAUGGUGACAGUGAUGGUGACGGUGAUGGUGACGGUGAUGGUGACGGUGAUGGUGACAGUGAUGGUGACGGUGAUGGUGACGGUGAUGGUGACGGUGAUGGUGACGGUGAUGGUGACGGUGACAGUCUUGGUGAUGGUGACGGUGAUGGUGACGGUGCUGGUGCCGGUGAUGGUGACGGUGAUGGUGACGGUGAUGGUGACGGUGCUGGUGCCGGUGAUGGUGACGGUGCUGGUGACGGUGAUGGUGACAGUGAUGGUGACGGUGAUGGUGACGGUGAUGGUGACAGUGAUGGUGACGGUGUUGGUGCCGGUGAUGGUGACGGUCAUGGUGAUGGUGACAGUCUUGGUGAUGGUGACGGUGCUGGUGUUGGUGCCGGUGAUGGUGACGGUGAUGGUGACGGUGACAGUCUUGGUGAUGGUGAUGGUGAUGGUGACGGUGAUGGUGACGGUGACGGUGAUGGUGACGCUGUCCCCGUGUCCAGGUGUUGCUGGAGCUGCGGGCGCUGGCGGCGGUGCCGCGUCUCGGCUCUGGCCCCCCCCAGGGGGAGGUGAGCGGGAACCUGCGGCUGCUGCACGGGGUGAGACUGGGGGCACUGGG
rnacentral:lncRNA from 1 species